CUUGCGGUCAUAUCACGUUGAAACAUCGGUUCUCGUACGAUCACCGAAGUUAAGCAACGUAAAAGCUGAUCAGUACCUAUAUUGGUGACCGCUUGCGAAUACCAGGUGCU